rnacentral:rRNA from 1 species
UAAACUGAAGAGUUUGAUCAUGGCUCAGAUUGAACGCUGGCGGCAGGCCUAACACAUGCAAGUCGAGCGCGAAAACACUUCGGUGUGAGUAGAGCGGCGGACGGGUGAGUAAUGCUUGGGAAUCUACCUAGUAGUGGGGGAUAACGUGUGGAAACGCACGCUAAUACCGCAUACGUCCUACGGGAGAAAGCAGGGGAUCUUCGGACCUUGCGCUAUUAGAUGAGCCCAAGUCGGAUUAGCUAGUUGGUGGGGUAAUGGCUCACCAAGGCUACGAUCCGUAGCUGGUCUGAGAGGAUGAUCAGCCACACUGGGACUGAGACACGGCCCAGACUCCUACGGGAGGCAGCAGUGGGGAAUAUUGCACAAUGGGCGAAAGCCUGAUGCAGCCAUGCCGCGUGUGUGAAGAAGGCUCUAGGGUUGUAAAGCAC